UAGGAGGAGCAAAUUUUUAAAAUUUUAAUGCAUUCUUUAUGUGUCCUUAUCAUUUUAUUUAAAUGAAAAAUCAAAAGGCAACUUUAAAACAGAAAUCAUAUACUUUUACAAGCAGCAAAGUUGUACCUACCUGUAUGUGCAGUCCUGAUAUCCUGAGUCUCAGCUCAAAUAACAGAAAUUGUGGCAGAAAUAUGGAGAAGCGAGGAAAAGUGAAUUUAGUUUUUAAGAGACUGUAUUCUACUUAUUUGAAGGUGAACUAAAAAUACCUCUUAACUCUGAAGCCUGGUGCUGACUCACGGAGCUUGUCUACUACAUGACCAAAUGUAGGUUGAGAAUAAAUUAGAAAGAUCUGUCUUAUUCAUAUGUAUUUUAGUAUUCCAAGAGAAGAAACACCAAGGAAGUAAAAUAUAGCAAGCAAAUUAAAGUACAAAAAAAUGCAUCUUAUUUCUUGUGUCAACUAAAUUAUUUUCAUUGUUCUUUCUUUAUGCAUGUCCUGGUACCUUGGCCUAAAUUGUACAAGUGAUAGGUGACAGGGACUGCAGAUGGCUCAAUAGCCCUGAGCCAUUUGCAGCUGAACUAAUUUGGCACAUGGCUUUGUCCUUUAAUGAUCAGAUUUCUGACCUAUUGCCUCCUCUUCCCCCAUUUUUCCUACACAUGCCAAAGAAAGCUUGUUCAGGUGGUUUUGAAGGAAAGUACUAGUUUUUUGAAUUUGGGAGUAGAGGCAUUUUCAAGUCAACUUUGCUGUUUCUUACAGCCACAUCUUUACUAAAACAUGAAUGGAGCAUGCUAAGAAGUAUAUAUAUAUAUUUAUCUAGGAAGCUGAAUUAUAUUAAAAUUAUAAAUUUUAGAA